rnacentral:lncRNA from 1 species
UAAUAACAUCAAACGCAUACACUUAUUUUCUGUCUAGGUCUAUUAUUUGACCUUAAAUCAAUCAUUUAAGAUUUUACUAAAUUGUCCAAAUUCUCGGGUUAUCACAUUCACCCCUCCUUCUAAGAAUUUCGUCCCCGAAAUUCACCUUACACCUUACACCGUAUACCAAAUAGCUUACACCAUUUACACAUAUCACAUACUACCCAAUUCCCCACUCACAAGAGUAAAAGGUUUA